AAAGAAAAAAAAUAUCAGCACAAAUUGCAUUUAAAAAUAUAUUUGUCAUAUUCGUAAGAAAUAUAUUUCAGUAGAGUAAGAAUUUUUUUUCUUCUUCAGGUCAGUACGAUCCUAGCAAAAGCCCUAAUCCAAAGCAACAGCUACAUGUGACGAUAAAAGUCAUUAGUGCCCAAUUUUUGCCAAAACCAAAUCAAGCAUCUGACGGUGAGGUCGUGGAUCCAUAUGUCUCCAUAAAAGUUGUUGGACAUCCCCUGGAUUCGCAAAAGACCAAAACUAAGUUCAUCAGCAACAACGGAUUCAAUCCGACGUGGAAUCAAAAUUUAACAUUUGUGAUCAACGCACCAGAAGAAGCGAUAUUCCAUUUUCGAGUGAAGGAUGAAAACCUGACAGGCAACAGCCUCAUUGGACAGUUUGCUCUGCCCUGCACAUCCAUGGUGGAAGGUAACUAUAUGAGAUCUCUUAAAUUUUGA